rnacentral:rRNA from 1 species
UACGGGGGGGGCAAGCGUUGUUCGGAAUUACUGGGCGUAAAGGGCUCGUAGGCGGCCAACUAAGUCAGACGUGAAAUCCCCAGGCUUAACCUGGGAACUGCGUCUGAUACUGGAUGGCUUGAAUUCGGGAGAGGGAUGCAGAAUUCCAGGUGUAGCGGUGAAAUGCGUAGAUAUCUGGAGGAAUACCGGUGGCGAAGGCGGCAUCCUGGACCGACAUUGACGCUGAGGAGCGAAAGCGUGGGGAGCAAACAGG